UUGCUAUGGUAGCACAAAUACCAAAAUUCAAGCCUGCAGAGAAAAUUAGCAUAGCCCCUGUGCAAGGAUGACAUGAAGAUUCAUGAAGCAUUCCAUAUUUUU
ensembl:snRNA U6 U6 spliceosomal RNA